rnacentral:rRNA from 1 species
UACAGAGGUCUCAAGCGUUGUUCGGAUUCAUUGGGCGUAAAGGGCGCGUAGGCUGCGGGGCAAGUCGGGUGUGAAAUCUCAGAGCUCAACUCUGAAACUGCACUCGAUACUGCUUUGCUUGAGGACUGGAGAGGAGAUUGGAAUUCACGGUGUAGCAGUGAAAUGCGUAGAUAUCGUGAGGAAGACCAGUGGCGAAGGCGGGUCUCUGGACAGUUCCUGACGCUGAGGCACGAAGGCCAGGGGGAGCAAACGGG